AUGGCUAGGUGUGUUUGGGCAUUAGGAGACGAGUAUUUGCUUGAGCAUGUGCUAUCUGCCACAAAAUUCAACUGUGAUGGCAGUUUGUCUAUCCUGGGGGAGAAAGGAGCAGCGGCAGUGGUCUGCAGAGGUUUGCCUGAUCCAUCUAGCCUGGAGGCGAAAGCAUGCUGUGAAGCAAUGGCCCUUUCACAGGAUCUUCAUUUACAAGACUUGGUGAUUGCCUCAGAUUGCCUGGAAGUUAUUUCAAACUUAAAGGGAGGAGGGUCUCCGGUGUAUGCUCCUAUCCUUAGAGAGAUUCAGUUUAGUACAAACUUAUUUUCUUCUGUUGAUUUCCGUUUUGAGCAUAGGGAAAAUAAUUUCGAGGCCCAUUCGCUGGCUAAAGGAGCUGCGUCUCUGGCGGUGGGCCGCCAUGUGUGGCUAGGGGUUCGCCUGAACAUCGUUUGUAUUCCUUUGUUAUGA
rnacentral:rRNA from 1 species